GCUCUUCACAUGAAUCUCCCUACAGGAACAGGGUCUUAAAGUUUUGGGGGAUACAUUUAACCAAAGAUGCAGCAAAUGCAUUUACACAAGGCCAGAUCCUGAUCAAGCAAAAUGCAGAAGAAAUCAACUAAUCAACAGCAGUCUCCACUGCUAGCUUGUCAUUAUCAUCCUCCUGCUCCUAGUGGGGUUACCAUGUGCUGUGGUGACAGAACCCACUGUAAUCCUACCAUGGAGAAGAGACUCUGUUCUGCUCAGGCUACUUACUCUGGGUCUGACGAGACAACCGAAGGAAAAGUGUGAGAGAGAAGAUGAGGUGGGAGCAGAAUAACAGAGCACCAUGUACCUUUUAAUAAAGGUUUGUUUACUCAGAGCCCACUGAGGUUGAAGAACACAGAAACAUAGGAACUGCCAUGAUGAAUCAAACUAGUGGUCCAUCUUCAGAAGAAGGUACAAGGAAAACAGUAGUGAACAGUUAUAAAAUGACAUGCCCAUUUGGAAAAUUUCAUCCUAACCCAGGCAGUGGGUGGUUGGGUUAUGCCUUGAAGUAGAAGUGUUUAUAGACUUAUAUAUAUUUAUCCUAUCAAAUGUAAUGGUGAAUGUUGUUAGCCAUAUAAAUGUCUGACCCUUUUUUGAAACCUACUGAGUUUUUGGCUUCAAUGACACCAUGUGGAAAUUAGCUCCAUACAUGAAUUAUGUGUUGGGUAAAAAGUAUUCCUUUUGUCAGUUUUCAAUUGGUUGCUCUUCAGUUUCAUUCAAUAUCCUCUUGUCCUUGGAUUAUGAGAAAAAGUAGACAGGAGCCCCCAUCUACCUUGUCUAACCUAUUCAUUGUAUUUUAUACUGCUGAUGUCCCUGUUGUUCAUCUCCUCUCUAAACAAGAAGGCAUGGCCUUUUCACUCUCUCUUCACAUGGAAGUCUUUUCUAUGCCUCUAAUAAUUUUCAUCACCCAUCUCUGGACCUCUUCAUAUUCUGAUCUUUUUUAGAAAUGUGGUGAACUGAACACUGAGGACACCAGAGAUUUGUAUGACUAUUAAAAUAUUUUCAGUACUAUUUUCUAUCCAUCCUAACAUUGUUUGCCUUUUUUUUUUUUUUAACUACACAGAGUGAGCGGAGGUUUUCAUUGAGCUGUCCAUAAUGUCUUUUUCCUGAUGGUUAAAACCCAGUAGUGUGUAUGAGUAAUUCAAAUUAUUCCCUGAAUUUCAUCUGUUCUUGUGUAACCUAUUCACUUAGCUUUGUUGGGUCCCUCUGGAGUUCCUCACGGUCUUCACUAGCCCUGAAUAACCAAAUAAUCUGAGUUUGUGAACAGCAGAGAGUUUUCAUUUCCCAAAACAAGAGGGCCUCUAAAGCACAGGAGUCUAACAAGAAGAUUCCACUAGGUUAAGUGAAACAAACAGACAAUCUCAGGCCAA